rnacentral:rRNA from 1 species
UACGUAGGGGGCAAGCGUUGUCCGGAUUUAUUGGGCGUAAAGAGCGUGUAGGCGGCCACACAGGUCUGCUGUGAAAACUCGAGGCUCAACCUCGAGCUGUCGGUGGAAACCGUGUGGCUAGAGUCCGGAAGAGGAGAGUGGAAUUCCCGGUGUAGCGGUGAAAUGCGCAGAUAUCGGGAAGAACACCCGUGGCGAAGGCGGCUCUCUGGGCCGGUCCUGACGCUGAGACGCGAAGGCGUGGGGAGCGAACGGG